CCCUUAGAUGUCCUGGGCCGCACGCGCGCUGCACUGACGGAGCCAGCGAGCUUACCCCUUUGCCGAAAGGCAUGGGAAAUCUUUUGAAUCUCCGUCGUGCUGGGGAUAGAUCAUUGCAAUUAUUGAUCUUGAACGAGGAAUUCCUAGUAAGCGCGAGUCAUAAGCUCGCGUUGAUUACGUCCCUGCCCUUUGUACACACCGCCCGUCGCUACUACCGAUUGAACGGUUUAGUGAGGGCCUCGGAUUGGUCUCGGCCCGCUCUUUACCGGGCGGCGCCGUUGGUCGAGAAGACGCUCGAACUUGAUCGUUUAGAGGAAGUAAAAGUCGUAACA
rnacentral:rRNA from 1 species